rnacentral:rRNA from 1 species
UCGAUUAGCCAUGCUAGUUGUGCGGGUUUAGACCCGCAGCGGAAAGCUCAGUAACACGUGGCCAAACUACCCUGUGGAUGGGAACAAUCUCGGGAAACUGAGGCUAAUUCCCAAUAACGCUCCACCCCUGGAACGGGCGGAGCUGGAAACGCUACGGCGCCACAGGAUGUGGCUGCGGUCGAUUAGGUAGACGGUGGGGUAACGGCCCACCGUGCCAAUAAUCGGUACGGGUUGUGAGAGCAAGAGCCCGGAGACGGAAUCUGAGACAAGAUUCCGGGCCCUACGGGGCGCAGCAGGCGCGAAACCUUUACACUGUACGCAAGUGCGAUAAGGGGACUCCGAGUGUGAAGGCAUAGAGCCUUCACUUUUGUACACCGUAAGGUGGUGUACGAAUAAGGGCUGGGCAAGACCGGUGCCAGCCGCCGCGGUAAUACCGGCAGCCCGAGUGAUGGCCGAUAUUAUUGGGCCUAAAGCGUCCGUAGCUGGCCGGACAAGUCCGUUGGGAAAUCUGUUCGCUUAACGAGCAGGCGUCCAGCGGAAACUGUUCGGCUUGGGACCGGAAGACCUGAGGGGUACGUCCGGGGUAGGAGUGAAAUCCUGUAAUCCUGGACGGACCACCGGUGGCGAAAGCGCCUCAGGAGAACGGAUCCGACAGUGAGGGACGAAAGCUAGGGUCUCGAACCGGAUUAGAUACCCGGGUAGUCCUAGCUGUAAACGAUGCCCG